CUUUAGUCUCUAUUCUCCUAACAUCUGAUGUAUAAUCUACAGUCUCUAUUCUCCUAACAUCUGAUGUAUAAUCUACAGUCUCUAUUCUCCUAACAUCUGAUGUAUAAUCUACAGUCUCUAUUCUCCUAACGUCUGAAUUAUAAUCUACAGGUGGAUAUCUUUAGUCUCUAUUCUCCUAACAUCUGAUGUAUAAUCUACAGGCUCUAUUCUAACAUCUGAUGUAUAAUCUACAGUCUCUAUUCUCCUAACAUCUGAAUUAUAAUCUACAGUCUCUAUUCUCCUGACAUCUGAUUUAUAAUCUACAGGUGGAUAUCUUUAGUCUCUAUUCUCCUAACAUCUGAUUUAUAAUCUACAGGUGGAUAUCUUUAGUCUCUGUUCUCCUAACAUCUGAUGUAUAAUCUACAGGUGGAUAUCUUUAGUCUCUAUUCUAACAUCUGAUGUAUAAUCUACAGUCUCUAUUCUCCUAACAUCUGAAUUAUAAUCUACAGUCUCUAUUCUCCUGACAUCUGAUUUAUAAUCUACAGGUGGAUAUCUUUAGUCUCUAUUCUAACAUCUGAUUUAUAAUCUAAAGGUGGAUAUCUUUAGUCUCUAUUCUCCUAACAUCUGAAUUAUAAUCUAAAGGUGGAUAUCUUUAGUCUCUAUUCUCCUAACAUCUGAUUUAUAAUCUAAAGGUGGAUAUCUUUAGUCUCUAUUCUCCUAACAUCUGAAUUAUAAUCUACAGUCUCUAUUCUCCUAACAUCUGAUGUAUAAUCUACAGGUGGAUAUCUUUAGUCUCUAUUCUAACAUCUGAUUUAUAAUCUAAAGGUGGAUAUCUUUAGUCUCUAUUCUCCUAACAUCUGAUUUAUAAUCUACAGUCUCUAUUCUCCUAACAUCUGAUGUAUA